rnacentral:misc_RNA from 1 species
AAGUCGUAACAAGGUUUCCGUAGGUGAACCUGCGGAAGGAUCAUUACCAAAUCCAAAUACCUAAACCCCAUGUGAACUAUUGUUUAGUCUGUCUUUGGGAGAAAGAUGAAGAAGGAAAAAAUCACAAUAUCUUAAAGAGUUUGUUCUCUUUUUGUUCUCUUUUUUCUUUGGAGUGUUUCUCCCAAUAGAGUCCGGCGCAAUCUCUGAUUGUGUCCAGAUUCGAAACCCCCCUUUAAUUAAACCACUUGAUUUAUAUGUUGGAAUUUCUUUUAUUAAUUUUAAAAUAAAAGACAACUUUUAACGGUGGAUCUCUUGGCUCGUG